UUCAAAACUGGUGCUGAUGACGACUGUAACUACUGCGUAUACUAAGGUUGUGCAAGAUUGACAAAAGAUGGAUCAAGAAGUUACUGUGAUGCUUCAAGACACACCUCGAUUUUCUAUU